CACACCAGGACAAAGGGGUCCUACCUAGACGCCCUUCCACUUGCCCAUCUAAUCCCAAACACUCUAUGCACACUGCCACUUUCACCAUCCCAUAUCCACACUUCGCAGAGACACCUGCAAAAACACUUCCAAUGCAAGACUCAGCCACAACUGAGCCUCAGAGUGUGACAUCUAGGGGACACGUUGACAACCACAGGAGAAACCAAAGAGGUGGGUAAAGAACCAGGAGAGGAGACUCCAGAGAAAGGUCAAGACCCGGGGGCAGGCACCAAAAAAGAGAUGAGAACGGCAAACUUUGCCCUUUCGCAGCCUAAAGUCCUCCAAGUAAAUGUCAGAAGCCAGCAAAUGCCCUGGGGAGCUGAUACGGAGCCCUGACUCAUCUCUGGAGGAGCAGAAGAGGUUAAUCAGAAAUCUGUGCAAGUAGAACAAGGGGUCGGAAGACUGAUCUAGCUACACGGGAGGCCAAGGUGACGCUGAGGGACUCACUCACAGAUGCUGAGGGCUCAGCAGGGUCUGCACGGGGUCUAAGGAACCCAGCGCCGAAGCCAUUCUGCGUUGCUCAAGCACUCCGCGGACACACGCUCGGCUGUCACAUCCUGGAGAUGUUCAUUAUCCCGGGAGGAUGUUUAUCAGAAGAGAAUUUCAAAAAGAAUAAGUAACUUUUCAGUAAAUGUCUUCAAUUAAACUCCCGCCUUAAGGCAACUGUUGAACUUUCCCCAAUGUUGGAGGAUACAUUUGACGACAUGAAAUGUUCCUAUUUUCCAAAGUUUUCAUCUACCAAGUCGUUCAUGUACGGUUUAGCACUGUUAAUUUAAGUUCACUCCUCAAAGUAAUAGAUUCUAUGACAGAAGAUUCUUGGUCCUAAAUUUCUGAUUCAAAAAUGGGAAAAAUUUCCAAGAUAUAAAAGAUAAAGAUAUUCACCAGUAUUCCAGUUAAAUGUAUAACAUAAUAGAACAAUAUGAGUAAUCAUUGAGUCGCCUUUUCCAGAUGUGUCAGAGAAAACCUCCUCUGACUAUAAUGCCCAUGGAAAAUCACCUUAAUUCCAGAAAGUGGGGGCUGACGGGACACACUGUUGAGAGGGGGUCUGUUGGGUGCACAGGAAUCAUGUCUUUCAAAGAGCACCAGGUGCAGAAGCCAUGGCAAGGCCCCCGGACUCAAGUGGAAAGAAGAGGAGCAAACGUGUUCCCAAGCCCAUGUUGAGACAUCACCAUUCCAAGGACACCCAGAAAUAGCUGGGGAGGAAUUUAAGAAGACAAGAGAAACAUGGGGUUAAGAUCUUGCCAAGCAAGUGAAGAUUUGGAGACAUGGAGCUAUGCAUUGACAUUCAUGAACUUAUUUACACUUAUGAACUCCUGAAACCUAGGAGAGGUUGAAAAAUUGCAAAUCCACUUGCUCCUUCUCCGCACCCAGGCUCCGCUUCUAAGUUACUGCCAACUGCUCAUGGCUGAAAGCCCACAUCCACUUCCAUCCUUCAUCAGCCACAUCAGGCUGCUAGUUUUCUUGGCCCUCCAACUGCCCACCUACUCCUCCCUGCCUGGAUUGGUUUUCAGACACUUGGACUUCAGUGAUCUGCCUUUUCUUCUGAACACUGGACUCUGCUCUCCCAUCAGAAUUUUUGAUACUCCCAUUGUGUUAUCAUCAAAAAUAUGUAUUUGGGCCAGAUGCAGUGGCUCACACCUGUAAUUGCAACAGUUUGGGAAGCUGAUGCGGGAGGAACCCUUGAUGCCAGGAAUUUAAGACCAGCCUGGACAACAAAGGGAGACCCCAUCUGUACAAAAAAUGCAAAAAAAAAUUACCCAGAUCCAACAUUCUGCUGCUGCCAGGUGUUGAGGAAAUGCACACACCCUCAUGAGAGAGACAUAAACCGUCACAGAGCCUCAGAACAUCUAUGCAAACUUAACAAGAUUCUCCAGGGAUUGGGACCUCAUGUUUGUUAAUGUCUUGGGAUAUGGAGAUAUGUUAACCUGCUAUGAACUCUGUAUAACACAUAAAGACUUAUACUUAUUUCAGCAUAAUCUUGUCUCAGCCUCUGACCUGUUCUCUAAGGAGGAAACAAUUAAGGCAUUUCAAGUGCCAGGCAGAAGAAAUGGAGCCCAGGCAUCUCCUCCUCUGAUGAGAGCCCAGGAAGAUUCCUUUUCCGUGUAGUUUCUGUAGAGAUUAGUGAAAUCACGACAUCAAGACAAUUUGGAAUAAUAAAAUAUGGUGAAUUUGGCUGAUUAAAAAUAAAUCUUGAUGUCUUCUUUUGGUUCCUUCUCUUGAAGACUAAAGUUUUUUUUUUUUUUUAUCUUCGGAAAAAUGUCUUUUAUCAACACUCAGGAAAAACUGCAAUCUCUUAAUGGUAAUUUCCUUUCACUCGGACAAGUUCUUCUGAGUUUUCCUCCUUUGUUAAGGUGAGAACACUUAUUAUUAAUAUUUUAUGGUUUCUGAGAAAGGAAUGCUUAGACAUGUGGCUGGAUAAAAAUAUAUGUGAUAUUGCUAUUUCUGGAAAUUUAUCUGCCUUUAUUUGUGACUAAGUGCCUGGAAGUACUAAAGAAUGAUGUUACAGAGG